GGCUUGCAUCCCAGGUGCAUAACGGCGUCAAACAGCAGGGUCACCGCCGACUCGCAGGCUGCCAAGGAUGGAAAGAAAGAACGGGAGGAAGAGCAUGAGAAAAAACACACAGCAGUGGAAAGUUUUAGGCUCUCAGGCAGUUCAUCAGGGAGGCGUCUGAUUGGUCCCAGACUUAUUCUGCAUCAUGAGACAACGACCCCAAACAUACAGCCCGAGUCACAAAGAGCUAUCCUCAGAGGCAAGAAGAACAAGGAGUCCUGCGACAGAUGGUCUGCCCCCCCUACAGAGCCCUGAUCUCAACAUCAUGGAGUCAGUCUGGGAUCACAUGAGGAGACAGAGGACACUGAGACAGACUAUAUCCACAGAAGAACUGUGGCAUGUUCUCCAUGAUGCUUGGACCAACCUACUAGGAGGACUGGUGCUGUUUUAAAGGCGAAUGGGUGGUCACAGCAUGAAUUGAUUUGAUUUGAUUUGAUUUGAUUUAGGUUGUGUCUGUUAAGGUCUCUUCUUGUCACUGCUGGUUGCUGGACAAGCUACGAAAUGGAGAGAGACAGUUCCCAGCUACAACAUACUGAGGGCAUUCAGUUGACGUAUAUAACCUGCUAUGUCUGAAGCUACUAUCUGCCAGUCACAUCAUCGUAGCAGAUUUGUGGGCUGGGCUCCGUUUUUACACCCAGCAUCGUGCCUGUGCACUGUGGACUACAUGCGCCGUACAGUGUGUGUACGCAUCAUUUGCAUUAAAAAAAGAAGAAGAAAGAAGCAGCAGCAGCAGCUGAGGUAUUGGGCACACGUCCACCGCACCAGGCACGCGUCCAGGACCGAAUCACACGACAGCCCACGCAGGAAAACCCCCAGCCACCCCGACCUCCGUCACACUACCUGGAAUCCGAACAGCGGGGAGCCGCAUCCGUUUGGCGGUGGGUGCCGGUAGCCGGGACGAGGGGCGGGCUUGUAACCUGUGGGACAGGAGCAAAGGUGAAGAGGCGUCUUGCUCCGCCACUGAUGGCCAUCUUGCUGUCGGCGACAGCCACGUCAGUGCGCACCGUUUAAUGGCUUAACGCGACGCUCUGGGAGCGACAAUGUACAACUUAUACCCCAAAAUUCAUUAAGUCUGUCCCCUCGCUAACGACCCGCAGCUCUCUCAUUUGGACUCGACGUGACGGGCUAAAAGCACAGGUGCUAAUGGUACCACCCAUGUUUGGCCGAGCCGGUCACCCAAGCGCACACGAUACAUGGUUCCUGACACUAGAAUGAAACACAGCCACCAACGACGUUCUCGGCAACACCCGCGUUUUCUCCAGUCAGUCGUUCACUUCGAGAAAAGGUUUUGAGAGAAGGAAGACAGAAGCUCGUUUUUUACCGUCGCUACACCUGUAAUGACACAGCCCGUCAUCGCCACCAAACAAGUCCAGCGCCGCGUUCAGGCAGACACAUGUGGGAAACAUCCGCCGGAGCACAAAACCAACAGGAGAACGCAAGUGUAGCUGUGGCAGAGCAUAGUCGGCUUCGCGUCAGGACCAGAAACCAGU